CUCUAAACCAGGAACAAUUGUUUUUGACUGGAAAUAAGAACCAGUUAUGAACCACUUCAGCCUGAUUUCUUUUUAAGUACCCGUUAUAUAAGCACCACUUCAGCCUGAAGUCAAAAUUCACUGGUUCUUUUAUGCGGGGUUUUACUGUAUACCAGAUAGCUUUCCGUAGCGGAGAUGUUGUUUCGCUGAGCUUCUGAAAGUUCGACAUUCCGUAUCGGAUAAGUGUUUUUUUCGCGCCGCUAUGGAAAACUAUCCGGUAUAGUGUAAACGUAGUUUAAAAUUUAUUUUCUCACUUUAAUAACUGCAGGUUGACACCAUCUGCUGCACGAUAGUGCUUAGUAAAACCAAGCUAUUUAACAGUUAUUCUACGAACUCGAGUCGAAUAUGAGCUGAUAGCCGAUGAGGCGCGUAGCGCCAAAUCGGCUAUCGCUCAUAUUCGACGAGAGUGAGUGGAAUAACUGUUUUAUUAUAUACACAAGGUCUGAAUUCACAGACUUUGCUUUUCGGAUAUUUUCAAUAUUUUUCUAUUUUGUUUAUGUAACUUUUAUCGUCGCUCUUUCGGCCGAUUAUUUUUUCAAAAAUAUAUAUUUUUAACCAUUUUAAAUUUUAAAAAUUCAUUUGCUAACCUGUAAACAAUUUGUGGGAGUUUUUCAUUGUGUUUUUAAUCCUGUAAAGGUUAUUAAAAGCGAAUAACUUGCCGUUUUCUCGUUCGCAAAAUGUCGGAAAUUCAGUUUGAGCCGCCAUUUUGUUUUUCUCUACUAGCAGGAUAUGAGCCACUGAGCUAUAAUAUAGUAUAGCUCAGUGAUAUGAGCUAAUAUCCUGCUAGUAGAGAACCAAUCAAAUUGCAGAACACCUCAUAUCCAGACCUUGUGCAUAUAAUAAAAGUUGAUAAUCAUGUCCCACUCUGUCGGUAAUUCUGUCCGGUAAUUUUGUUUUUAACGGCAUUCACGAAAAUAAAAUAUUUUAUUAUUAUGUACAAAACAGUUACACGUGUAAAUUGAGUAAAUUAUGAGGAGCAAUGCAACUAAUUUCAAAAACAUAAUUCAGAUAGUUUUCAUCAUUUAAUCAAUUGAAUCAAGAAGCAUUAUGUAUUUAAUGAACUACAUCACUUGCGUUUGUAAAUUAAGAUGUCAAUGAACUGCGUGUGUCUGUGUAAUUUAGCAAUUUAUCACUUGUCUUUUACGAUGCAAUGUUUUUAAGUUCAG